rnacentral:tRNA from 1 species
UAAAAAGUUAGUUAAAUUAUAAUAUUAGGUUGUCAGCCUAACGUUACUAACCCUACUUAGUACUUUUUAU